UUCACAGUUCGUCGGCAGUUGCUGUGUAGCACAGAAGGUCCUGCGCUGGGAUGUGGGCAAUUUCAUAACUGCCAACAUGGGCUACGGCUUUGGUCUCAUGCUGGCUGUGCUCAUCUCAGGACCAUCUGGCUCACAUCUGAAUCCAGCAGUGACAUUAGCAUUUUGUGUCAUUGGUAAAAAGCCAUGGAAGGAUUGUCUACAUUAUUUUCCAGCGCAGUACCUUGGUUGCUUUUUAGGUGCAGCAUUUGCAUAUAUUGUGUACCUUGGAAUUCUCAUGCUCUUGCUUUGUCAUAUGGGAGCUUGUUGAUGACCUUUGCCCAAGAAUAUAGAACCCAAGUCUGAACAUGGGACAAAAAGAGAUGCUUUGUACAAUUUUGAUCAUGGAGAUCGUCAGGUGACUGGUCCCCUUGGUACUGCUGGUAUUUUUACUACUUACCCAGCACCUUACUUAUCACUUGUUGGAGCAUUCAUAAAUGAGGUGAUGGCUACAUUUGUAUUGCUGCUAGUGAUUUGUGCAAUAAUAGAUGAAAAUAACUGUGGAAUAACUCCAGCUCUGAUACCUCUAUACAUUGGAAUACUUAUUGUAACAAUCGGUAAUGGUUUCUCUGCAAACACUGGCUCUGCUUUAAAUCCAGCUCGUGAUCUUGGUCCUCGAAUUUUUGUUACUAUUGCUGGCUGGGGCACAGAAGCAUUUGUGUAUGCUAAUUACUGGUGGGUACCAAUUGCUGGUCCCCAUCUUGGAGGUAUUUUAGGAGCACUUUUUUAUGUAUUCUUUGUGGAAAUGCAUCACAACAAGAGUUAAUAGGAUCAUUAAAGGUCCACACGCUACAAACAGCAGUAGAUUUGGCUCCUGAUUUGAAAAUACACCAGCAUAAUUUUGUGUGUGCACCUGCACUUGUGAAUACACAAAUGACAAAUUUUGUGAGAAGUCAAUCAAAGAGCAUAUACUGCAGCACUGAAUCUCACAGAAAGUGUUCAACUACUCAGGAAUAUAUUUAUAUACUACUGAAAUCUUAUUUCAUAUAAUAUAACUAGCCAAUAGAAUGAAAUGUACAACUUCUAAGACAGGUUAUAUAUGCAAACUUCUUCUGAGAAUUUUGCUUAUGAACUAAUAGGAAAUAUUAGACAUUUCAAAUAUUUAAUGAUUUUAAU